GCGCUCACUUCGGCACUACUUAUACUAAAACUAGAAUGCUACAACAAAGAUUAGCAUGGCCCCUGCACAAGGAUGACACACAAAUUCAUGAAGUGUUCCAUAUUUCC
rnacentral:snRNA from 1 species